rnacentral:rRNA from 1 species
AUAGACCGUACCCGAAACCGACACAGGUGGUCAGGUAGAGAAUACCAAGGCGCUUGAGAGAACUCGGGUGAAGGAACUAGGCAAAAUGGCACCGUAACUUCGGGAGAAGGUGCGCCGGUGAGGGUGAAGGACUUGCUCCGUAAGCUCAUGCCGGUCGAAGAUACCAGGCCGCUGCGACUGUUUAUUAAAAACACAGCACUCUGCAAACACGAAAGUGGACGUAUAGGGUGUGACGCCUGCCCGGUGCUGGAAGAUUAAAUGAUGGGGUGCAAGCUCUUGAUUGAAGUCCCAGUAAACGGCGGCCGUAACAAUAACGGUCCUAAGGUAGCG